CCUACGGGUGGCUGCAGUGGGGAAUAUUGGACAAUGGGCGAAAGCCUGAUCCAGCCAUGCCGCGUGUGUGAAGAAGGCCUUCGGGUUGUAAAGCACUUUCAGUGGGGAAGAAAGCCUUGGGGCUAAUACCCUCGAGGAAGGACAUCACCCACAGAAGAAGCACCGGCUAACUCCGUGCCAGCAGCCGCGGUAAUACGGAGGGUGGGAGCGUUAAUCGGAAUUACUGGGCGUAAAGCGCGCGUAGGCGGUCUGAUAAGCCGGUUGUGAAAGCCCCGGGCUCAACCUGGGAACGGCAUCCGGAACUGUCAGGCUAGAGUGCAGGAGAGGAAGGUAGAAUUCCCGGUGUAGCGGUGAAAUGCGUAGAGAUCGGGAGGAAUACCAGUGGCGAAGGCGGCCUUCUGGACUGACACUGACGCUGAGGUGCGAAAGCGUGGGUAGCAAACAGGAUUAGAUACCCGAGUAGUC
rnacentral:rRNA from 1 species